AUUGAACGCUGGCGGCAGGCCUAACACAUGCAAGUCGAACGAGUGGCGGACGGGUGAGUAAUGUCUGGGAAACUGCCUGAUGGAGGGGGAUAACUACUGGAAACGGUAGCUAAUACCGCAUACCAUCGGAUGUGCCCAGAUGGGAUUAGCUAGUAGGUGGGGUAAAGGCUCACCUAGGCGACGAUCCCUAGCUGGCCUGAGAGGAUGACGAGCCAAACUGGAACUGGAACACGGUCAUAACGCCUAGGGAAGGAAGCGGUGGGGAAUAUUGCACAGUGGGGGAAAGCUGGAUGAAGCAAGGCCGCGUGUAUGUAGAAGGCCUUCGGGUGGUAAAAUACUUUCAGCGGGAAGGCGUUACCCGCAGAGAAAGCACCGGCUAACUCCGUGCCAGCAGCCGCGGUAAUUC
rnacentral:rRNA from 1 species